UACGUAGGGGGCAAGCGUUGUCCGGAAUCACUGGGCGUAAAGGGCGCGUAGGCGGUAUAUUAAGUCAGGUGUGAAAGUUUUCGGCUCAACCGGAAAAGUGCACUUGAAACUAAUUUACUUGAGUACUGGAGAGGUAAGCGGAAUUCCUAGUGUAGCGGUGAAAUGCGUAGAUAUUAGGAAGAACACCGGUGGCGAAGGCGGCUUACUGGACAGAGACUGACGCUGAGGCGCGAAAGCGUGGGGAGCAAACAGGAUUAGAUACCCUGGUAGUCCACGCCGUAAACGAUGAGUAUUAGGUGUUGCCGAGAGGCAGUGCCGGAGUUAACACAAUAAAUACUCCGCCUGGGGAGUACGGUCGCAAGACUGAA
rnacentral:rRNA from 1 species